rnacentral:tRNA from 1 species
GCUCCUUUAGCUCAGUUGGUCAGAGCAUCCGACUCAUAAUCGGCUGGUCGUAGGUUCAAAUCCUUCAGGGAGCACCA